UACGAAGGGGGCUAGCGUUGUUCGGAAUUACUGGGCGUAAAGCGCGCGCAGGCGGUCUAUCAAGUCAGAGGUGAAAAUCCCGGAGCUUAACUUCGGAAUUGCCUUUGAAACUGUUAGACUAGAGUACGGUAGAGGGUGGUGGAAUUCCUAGUGUAGAGGUGAAAAUUCGUAGAUAUUAGGAGGAACACCAGUGGCGAAGGCGGCCACCUGGACCGUUACUGACGCUCAUGUGCGAAAGCGUGGGAGCAAACAGG
rnacentral:rRNA from 1 species